UACGUAGGGGGCAAGCGUUGUCCGGAAUCAUUGGGCGUAAAGCGCGCGUAGGCGGCCCUGUAAGUCCGUUGUGAAAGUCAAAGGCUCAACCUUUGAAAGCCGAUGGAUACUGCAGGGCUCGAGUUCGGAAGAGGCGAGUGGAAUUCCUGGUGUAGCGGUGGAAUGCGCAGAUAUCAGGAGGAACACCCGUGGCGAAGGCGGCUCUCUGGGACGGUACUGACGCUGAGACGCGAAAGCGUGGGGAGCGAACAGG
rnacentral:rRNA from 1 species